GGUAUCCUCAGCUCAGUGCUGAAGAGCUGGCAGCAUCACUGAUCUGAAUGCUGAACUUGGGAAGGCAGCUGGUCCCCUGACAUUUCCUCAUGGGAGGUGACACCAAUUCCUGCGGCAAGCAAGUAGGCAUUUUGGAGGAAAAACUGCAGGAAGAGCCCAGAUAAUGCAUACAGCUUAACAGUUGCCUAAAAAAUAAGGACUGGAACCACAAGUGAUGGGACAUGUACCGCCCUCCCCAACUGGACGAGCAUGUGAAGAUUUUCAUCUUGUUGAAUCAUUGCUUUGGUUCAUCAGGCUCAUUUUGAAUUCUCUUCUUGUCUUCAGAGUGUUUGAAAAUCUUCCCAGGGUGAUUCACCUGCAUGUUUUAACACUGCAUGCUCUAAUCUACUUAGCAAACUAUUAAUGCAGCUGUUGAACAGUCCUGUGCUGAGAGGAGAUCCCUGAUUCCGCAAAGGAAUUGUCCCUGUGUUUGUCAAGGAGCUAUUUUGAAUGCAAACACCGAAAGAGGUAUGCUUCCAGCUUACAAUUAAUUUUAUCCUGCCAUUUUCCUGUUUGCUUAAGAAAAUACCGUGUGUGGCAUAGCACUGAAAUCUUUACUACGGUCACGUUUAACACAUCUCUAUUUUCCCCCUUGCCCAGUAGCUUAGUUAUUCCAGGAAGGAGUAUUGCAUUAAUUUGAAACAGCUUGUUGAUUGCCUGCCUUGUUGUCAUGAGCAGCUUAGCAGUUUAAUGAAUGGAAGUACUUAUACAUUGAUUAUUUAAUCUUCUGUUCCAUUGCCUCUCUGACCUUUGAAGGUAAGCUUGCCAAUCGAAAAAUCACUGCACCUCUGUGGAGUGUGGUAUUCGGGAUGGUGCUACAGAUAUCUCAGCAAUGGUUCAUUAGCUACUUCAGUGAGUUUCUUAAGGAUUACAGGUGCUGGCUACUUGAGUAUCAUGUGAAUUUCCUCCAUCCUACUAUUCCCAUAUUAUGACCUAUGUUCUUCAAAUCCCUUUUAAAAUGAAUACUGGGUCUCAAUUAAGCAAGAGGUGUGGAUGAUGUGACAUGCUCAGUCUUUGCAAUCUGCUGUCUGCUGAAAACAAAAACUUUUGCUAAUGUUAGUCACUGAGUCUGUGUAAACGACAAAAAAAAAGAUGGUUUGUCAAAACAAAGAUGUGUUGUGACUUGAGCUUGGAAAUUUAAUGGGAGACUGUGGUCAUGAGUGCAGUGGUUGCAUUUAGGGGUACAUCAAACGUUGGCUUAUGGGCUCAGGUGGCUUUCAGGAAAGGUCUGUGGGCUAGCCAAGGAAGGACACAAUCCUGCAGCAGCUCUCCUGUUACCCCCUGAAGGUUUAUAGAUAGCUUUGACACAGUAGGAUGUUUUUGUAGUGGUCUACAUCUCGCUCUCACGGGCUUGUGGCAUUUCCUCAGUAGUUCACACUUAGCGUGUAAAACUAAACACACCGAUCUGGUGUACGCUUGUUCUGAUCAUUCGAAUAUUAAUCCAAAAAGAAAAAAAUCUUUUAUUUUCUUUGUACUUGCAAGGCUCCAAUUGGGCCAGGAGUCACCCCGUCCUUCUGCAGCUGGCAUAAAUUCAGCAUGAAAACAUGAAGCUAACCUAAACCUUAUUGCAUGUACUAGAUGUACAAAAAAAUAUGAUGGCAUGCAAUGCCUAUUCAGUAUUAAACCUCUGCUGGGCUGUGAUCUGAUGUCGAGUGAUUUGCUGCCAGUCUGCCUAAUUGCCUCACACAGUGGCAAACUGCAUGGCGGUGGGCAGUGCCCGCUCCGUGCCAUGGAGAGGAGGAGGUGGUGGGUUCGUGGUUCAGAUGUGUUUUCUUGAGCCGCAGCCGCGGCCCUAAAUUACAGACUCAUCCCAACUAAAAGCUAAGGUCUGCGGCUUCAGUGAUGAGCUACGGAUCCCCGUGUAAGCGUAAGGCGCCUCAGGGACUGGCUGAAUACUGCUGCUGAGCAAUAAUUAACAGCGUAUUAAUUAUGUCUGGCUGGAAGAGAAAAGCGUGAGGACUUGUAAGGGGUGUCAGCACGAAGCACGUCACGUUGUGCAAGCUGUAGGGGAAGAGCUCUCAGUCAAGCCCCUACCUCCAACCUCUACUGCCCACCGCCCCCAAGAUGGCCGC